GUGGGGUGAAAAAUCUGACAAAAAUCCACUCUUAGGCUGAAAGAGUGGAUCCGAAAUCUACUCUAAGGCUGCAAGAGUGGAAUCACUACCCGAGAACUCUGGUGACGUGAAUACAAUUUAUAUACAACUUGAUUAAAGAUGUAAAUCUUAUUCCGGUCAGGACCACAGCAAAAAAAUUACAAUGUUUCAGAAUUCAUAUUUUGUCUUACAUCUAGACGUUUAAUAAUAGUAUCCCCUAAAUAUUUUAGUACAGACAGUUAGUACAUUAA
rnacentral:lncRNA from 1 species